GAUUUUGGUUUGCAUAUGAAGUUUUCUUUUGGAAUUCUUGGUGGGAUUUGCACCCUGUUCCUUAGCCAUGUCACAGUGAUUACUGGGAUUUGGGAUCUUAGCCCGGCCGUCACGUGGAUUCUUUCCUGCUCCCUCCUGUGAUUUAAGGAAAGGCUCAGGCGCCUUCCCACGGCCUUUUAGAACUCUGUAUGCGUGCGUUCAAGCAACCCCAGCCGAGCCUCAGGCAGACACAGGCCUGGUCCGUGCAGGUUAAAUCUACAGGAUGAAAUCCAAGCUCCACAUCCAUCCGCACACGUCCCCCUGUCCUGCACCUCAGCCCAGCAGGGCGGCCCCGCCACGGGCCUUGGGGUCUUUCCUUCUUCCUGGGGCUCUCCCCUCCUCCUGCAAAUCCCCCUCCUCCUUCAGAAGCAGCCCCCAGGUGUGGACACAGCACGAUGCCGAGGAUGCCUCUGAGCGCCCACCUUCUUCCGAGACGGACGGGGCACGCAGUGGACACUGGAAGCAUCUGAACUGGUGUGUGAGACGUGUCUCCUUUCUCUCCGCCAAGAGUGAACGCCCUUUGACCAGGCCUUGCGGUGGUUCGGGGAGAGACGUCCAUGAGGCAAGUGUAUCCUGCGAGCCUGGCCCAUCACCCGACCUCUAGGCUUCACAAACUUCAGAUCUGAGCAACACGCAGUUUUGACCCUGUGGCUCCCUCUCCAAGUGACUUCUCCGGGUCCCGCAGAGCAGGCCCAGCAGAUCCCAGGCCAACCUGCGAGGACCCCGGCCUCCCACCCACAGGAGGGUUUUCCUGUGGUCCUAAGCGGCCUCCUUCCAGCACGGCAGGGAGACCUGGGCCUGCAGGGACUUGCCGGGAGAGCCCGGGGCCACCAGGGCCGUCCUGCGAUGGACAUAGCCUCAGGCCUGGCUCCAGCUUCUAGCAGAGU
rnacentral:lncRNA from 1 species